rnacentral:rRNA from 1 species
CAGUCGCCGCGGUAAUACGUAGGUGGCAAGCGUUGUCCGGAAUUAUUGGGCGUAAAGGGCUCGCAGGCGGUUUCUUAAGUCUGAUGUGAAAGCCCCCGGCUCAACCGGGGAGGGUCAUUGGAAACUGGGAAACUUGAGUACAGAAGAGGAGAGUGGAAUUCCACGUGUAGCGGUGAAAUGCGUAGAGAUGUGGAGGAACACCAGUGGCGAAGGCGACUCUCUGGUCUGUAACUGACGCUGAGGAGCGAAAGCGUGGGGAGCGAACAGGAUUAGAUACCCCAGUAGUCCCUGUCUCUUAUAC